GAUGCAGCGACGCCGCUGUGAGUGGGGAAGUAUUUCGGUAUGUAAAGCUCUAUCAGCAGGGAAGAAAGAAAUGACGGUACCUGAGUAAGAAGCUCCGGCUAAAUACGUGCCAGCAGCCGCGGUAAUACGUAUGGAGCAAGCGUUAUCCGGAUUUACUGGGUGUAAAGGGAGCGUAGGCGGCAGAGCAAGUCUGAUGUGAAAGCCCGGGGCUCAACCCCGGUAGUGCAUUGGAAACUGUUCAGCUCGAGUGUCGGAGGGGUAAGCGGAAUUCCUGGUGUAGCGGUGAAAUGCGUAGAUAUCAGGAAGAACACCGGAGGCGAAGGCGGCUUACUGGACGAUUACUGACGCUGAGGCUCGAAAGCGUGGGGAGCGAACAGGAUUAGAUACCCUGGUAGUCCACGCUGUAAACGAUGAAUACUAGGUGUCGGUACCCGAAGGGUAUCGGUGCCGUCGCAAACGCAUUAAGUAUUCCACCUGGGGAGUACGUUCGCAAGAAUGAAACUCAAAGGAAUUGACGGGGACCCGCACAAGCGGUGGGGCAUGUGGUUUAAUUCGAAGCAACGCGAAGAACCUUACCAAGUCUUGACAUCCCGAUGACAAGCGAUGUAAUGUCGUCUCUCUUCGGAGCAUCGGAGACAGGUGGUGCAUGGUUGUCGUCAGCUCGUGUCGUGAGAUGUGGGGUUAAGUCC
rnacentral:rRNA from 1 species